GGGGUUGUGGCUCAGUGGCAGAGCACUUGCCUAGCAUGGGCAAGGCACUGUGUUCAAUACUCAGCACCCCA
rnacentral:tRNA from 1 species